UACUAUUACGCUGCACAAAUUUCUUCAAUGAUGUAUAAUAACUAAGUAGUAGGCGUUAUCAUGAAGCCUUCGACCAUGAAUAUUCAGAGUAAAAGUUAAAAUUUCUGAACGCAACGGCCACGUUCCCGCGAACAGAACUGUCAACUUCAUUGUGUUUAUUCAUGUAAGCCGACGACCAUUAGGGCAUAAUAAAAUAAAACGUUUUUAACUGAAAAUAACAGUUAACAUUUUAUAAGAAUAUGAAAAAAUAAAGAAAAUAGUGUUAACAGUGACGAAUUGCAAAAUUGGAGGGAAAAAACCACAAGAUCGGAGAAGAAAAUGCAACUUUCGCGUUCAAGGUCAAUUGCGGCGUCCUUUCGUCGAUAGCAUAGCUACACGGACAUGAUAAAUAUCGAGAUAAAAAUGUAGCAGGCCAUGGAUGUACCUACAUUAAUAGUGCCAGCGAACGAAUGUUUAAUGCAUACAUAACUAAAAUUCCGAAAAGGAACAUAAACGUCGGCAAGUGAAGAAUGAAGCGAGUUAAUUUUGACCUUGUUGGAAGGAGGCACCGCACCAGAAGGUUAAAUAUGGGAAUAAUCCUUCUAGGACAAUCUUGUUGUUUGCUUGCAGAUAUAUAAUUACGAACAUUACAAAACAACAAUGACCCGGACAAGAUUAUGAAAAAAUACUCUGCCUUGUUAAAUUACUAGUGCUCUGAAGAUGAACCAAGAGACUCAAGCUGCGGCUGGUGAGACGUUUGUCAGUUGGGAACAAGGCUAGGUAUUGAAAUGAAACAAAAUAAAGUUUCCUGUGACCUGUUCUCUCACUGUGAUGAUUUAGCACUCAAUAAAUUGUCUGCUGUAACCAGCUAUGAAAAGGUAA